CGGGGCGCGCGCCUCAGAGAGAGCUGUGGUUGCCGGAAGUUGAGCGGCGGCAAGAAAUAAUGGCGGCAGCUACGGGGGAUCCUGGACUCUCUAAACUGCAGUUUGCCCCCUUUAGUAGUGCCUUGGAUGUUGGGUUUUGGCAUGAGUUGACCCAGAAGAAGCUGAACGAGUAUCGGCUGGAUGAAGCUCCCAAGGACAUUAAGGGUUAUUACUACAAUGGUAGGUGAUUGUAAAUUUCAUUUUCCAUCAUCUUCUGUUAUCCUCACGGUCCUCCAGUAUAGUGUCAGCUUUCCUUUAGAAAGAGACAGCCUUGUCUUUUAUAAUCAGUGCUCUUCACUAGUUUCUAUUUUACUUCCCGACUUUUUGAUCCCAGUUCAUUUUCAUUUAUUUUCUCUUGUUGUGGGGAAAAAGAAAGAGAGUAGUGAAACUCAAAUUAUUAAUCCAAAUAAUACCCAUUACUUAGCAUUGCUGUGGGAAGAGAUUGGAAAUAUUUUUUCCAUUGAAUCUUUUUUAUAUUCUUGGCAAAUGUCUCAU
rnacentral:sRNA from 1 species